AGUGAACGCUGGCGGUAGGCCUAACACAUGCAAGUCGAACGGCAGCACAGUAAGAGCUUGCUCUUACGGGUGGCGAGUGGCGGACGGGUGAGGAGUACAUCGGAAUCUACUUUUUCGUGGGGGAUAACGUAGGGAAACUUACGCUAAUACCGCAUACGACCUACGGGUGAAAGCAGGGGAUCUUCGGACCUUGCGCGAUUGAAUGAGCCGAUGUCGGAUUAGCUAGUUGGCGGGGUAAAGGCCCACCAAGGCGACGAUCCGUAGCUGGUCUGAGAGGAGGAUCAGCCACACUGGAACUGAGACACGGUCCAGACUCCUGCGGGAGGCAGCAGUGGGGAAUAUUGGACAAUGGGCGCAAGCCUGAUCCAGCCAUACCGCGUGGGUGAAGAAGGCCUUCGGGUUGUAAAGCCCUUUUGUUGGGAAAGAAAAGCAGCAGGUUAAUACCCCGCUGUUCUGACGGUACCCAAAGAAUAAGCACCGGCUAACUUCGUG
rnacentral:rRNA from 1 species